GAUGAAGAACGUAGUGAAAUGCGAUAAGUAAUGUGAAUUUCAGAAUUCAGUGAAUCAUCGAAUCUUUGAACGCACAUUGCGCCCGCCAGUAUUCUGGCGGGCAUGCCUGUUCGAGCGUCAUUUCAACCAUCAAGCCCCCGGCUUGUGUUGGGGACCUGCGGCUGCCGCAGGCCCUGAAAAGCAGUGGCGGGCUCGCUGUCACACCGAGCGUAGUAGCAUACAUCUCGCUCUGGGCGUGCUGCGGGUUCCGGCCGUUAAACCACCUUCAUAACCCAAGGUUGACCUCGGAUCAGGUAGGAAGACCCGCUGAACUUAAGCAUAUCAAUAAGCGGAGGA
rnacentral:misc_RNA from 1 species